AAAGCGGUGUCCGAAAAGCUAACAGAGUAGGAA
ncrna:unclassified sequences DTF805b RNA